rnacentral:rRNA from 1 species
CACGUAGGGUGCGAGCGUUGUCCGGAAUUAUUGGGCGUAAAGAGCUCGUAGGCGGUGUGUCGCGUCGGCCGUGAAAACCUGCAGCUUAACUGUGGGCUUGCGGUCGAUACGGGCAUCACUGGAGUUCGGCAGGGGAGACUGGAAUUCCUGGUGUAGCGGUGAAAUGCGCAGAUAUCAGGAGGAACACCGAUGGCGAAGGCAGGUCUCUGGGCAUUAACUGACGCUGAGGAGCGAAAGCGUGGGGAGCGAACAGG